GACGAACGCUGGCGGCGUGCUUAACACAUGCAAGUCGAACGGAAAGGCCCUGCUUUUGUGGGGUGCUCGCGUGGCGAACGGGUGAGUAACACGUGAGUAACCUGCCCUUGACUUUGGGAUAACUUCAGGAAACUGGGGCUACUACCGGAUAGGAGCUCCUGCUGCAUGGUGGGGGUUGGAAAGUUUCGGCGGUUGGGGAUGGACUCGCGGCUUAUCAGCUUGUUGGUGGGGUAGUGGCUCACCAAGGCUUUGACGGGUAGCCGGCCUGAGAGGGUGACCGGCCACAUUGGGACUGAGAUACGGCCCAGACUCCUACGGGAGGCAGCAGUGGGGAAUAUUGCACAAUGGGCGGAAGCCUGAUGCAGCAACGCCGCGUGCGGGAUGACGGCCUUCGGGUUGUAAACCGCUUUCGCCUGUGACGAAGCGUGAGUGACGGUAAUGGGUAAAGAAGCACCGGCUAACUACGUG
rnacentral:rRNA from 1 species